AUUUUAUUUAUUUUUAUUUAAAGAUUUAAUUAAAAUCCCCCGUUCCUUAAUUUAUUCAAUACCAAGCAGGCGAGAUCAUUAUUGGUCUCGCGAUGUUUGAAUGUCAUGUGACAGCUGCACGUCAGCAUCCUAAAUUGACAGCUACGGCUUAUAUUGGUGCUGAAUCGCACCUUUAGGUUGGAGACGCUGUCGGACUCUGACGUGCAGGUAGGCUUGGGUUUCUGUUCCCAAAGCGGUUUUGCUUUUGAAUGUCGAUCAUACAUCAAUCGUAUACCUCUGUUAAAUUACAGACAUGGUCACUCAUCUGUACGCUGAAACGAUCUCUGUCUGUCAAUGAGGAACUGGCCAGGUGUUCCAGAUCCCACCGCCGCUCGGAGUAAACUGGAGGAUCUGGGACACAUUAAGAACUGUCUGGUUUAUGUACACUGACCGGACUAACCAUAGCGGAACCGGAAAUCCACCCAAAAUCUGAGGAACCGUCUCCAGACUGGUUGGAAAUUCAACCAACCAUUCACAGCUGGAACUAAAUGACUAUUUUGUUUUUUCCCUUUCAUCACCGAAAGAGACUUCCUUGUUUUAAGGAACUGGACUUCACAGUUGUGAAACACUUUGUACAUAUUGUAAAUAUAAAUACACUUCGCUGAUUUUGCACCAUC